rnacentral:piRNA from 1 species
UGCCAACCAUAACUGCCUAUAGAUUCUUA